CCUACGGGAGGCAGCAGUGAGGAAUAUUCGUCAAUGGACGCAAGUCUGAACCAGCCAUGCCGCGUGCAGGAAGACGGCUCUAUGAGUUGUAAACUGCUUUUGUACGAGGGUAAACGCAGAUACGCGUAUCUGUCUGAAAGUAUCGUACGAAUAAGGAUCGGCUAACUCCGUGCCAGCAGCCGCGGUAAUACGGAGGAUUCAAGCGUUAUCCGGAUUUAUUGGGUUUAAAGGGUGCGUAGGCGGUCGGAUAAGUUAGAGGUGAAAUCCCGAGGCUCAACUGCGGAAUUGCCUCUGAUACUGUGCGGCUAGAGAGUAGUUGCGGUAGGCGGAAUGUAUGGUGUAGCGGUGAAAUGCUUAGAGAUCAUACAGAACACCGAUUGCGAAGGCAGCUUACCAAGCUACUUCUGACGUUGAGGCACGAAAGCGUGGGGAGCAAACAGGAUUAGAUACCCCUGUAGUC
rnacentral:rRNA from 1 species